GACGAACGCUGGCGGCGUGCCUAACACAUGCAAGUCGAACGGAGUGAUUUCUUCGGAGAUCACUUAGUGGCGGACGGGUGAGUAACGCGUGAGAAACCUGCCUUUCAGUGGGGGACAACAGUUGGAAACGACUGCUAAUACCGCAUAAUGUUAUUUGGGGGCAUCCCCGAAUAACCAAAGAUUUAUUGCUGAAAGAUGGUCUCGCGUCUGAUUAGCUAGUUGGUGAGGUAACGGCUCACCAAGGCGACGAUCAGUAGCCGGUCUGAGAGGAUGAACGGCCACAUUGGGACUGAGAUACGGCCCAGACUCCUACGGGAGGCAGCAGUCGGGAAUAUUGCGCAAUGGAGGAAAGUCUGACCCAGCAACGCCGCGUGAAGGAAGAAGGCUUUCGGGUUGUAAACUCUUUUAAGUGGGAAGAGUAGAAGACGGUACCACUUGAAUAAGCCACGGCUAACUACGUG
rnacentral:rRNA from 1 species